UUACUGGUCACCAGCUUUCCCAGAAAAUAAAUACUACAAGAGAAAUCAUUAAAAUUUGUGAAAUAUGUUCAUAAAAUAAUGUAAGUGUAAAAGCAAUAUUGUUAACAUCACAUUACAGUUUUUAAAAUGUAUUUGAGUUGAUUUCGAACCCGAGAUAACAUGCGUGGAAGACUGACACUUUACCACUUCAUCGGUUAACUAACUAUACUAGUAUUUUUUUAGUAAUACAGGUACAAAUAUUACGUAAACUAACGAAAACGCCGGAAAAAUAAUGGCUAAGAUCAAUGACUGCGAUGUAAAUACUUACGCACAAUAGCUAUACUUAUGAUUGACCCGAUAUAUCAUGCCACUCCCCUGCUUAUAAGGUUGUCUAUUUCAGCCAAUCAGGUUCAAAAGACAAAAAGUAAGUCACACCUCUAGGCAUGUCAUAACAGGUGUAAUUAACCCGUUAUAGUUCGGCAGAAGUCAACGGAAUUAAGUCUGUGUAUUGUCUAUUGUCGUACUCAGCAAGUUUAUUUAUUUAAAAUGUAGUUACGCAAUCAAUUAUUUAUGGAUAAUCGUAAAUGAAAUGAAAUGUUAUUUAACUUGUCAACUAUCAUUCAAAAGUACACAACAUAUUAACUAUUUUUAUGCUUACGAAAUUUUAUGGUAUUCUGUUGGUGAAAGCUAUUUUGACCUGAACAUAAGAAAAUAAUUAUCCUCUAAUAGGUUAUAAUAAGUUUAUCAAUGGAUGCUGUGGGCAGAUAUUUUGUAAAUAAAUACAAACCUGUACUAAGAAAUCAAGGUUUCCUAACCAUAAAAUUAGGUCAUAUGAAAGAUUUGUCAAGUAUUAAAUUAUUCUUCAAAAUAUAUGAUUUAAUGAGAGCUAAAGAGUUACAGAAAUAAAGAACAACAAUAAAAUAAGAAUGUAAAACAAUGUAUCAAGUCGGUUGUCGGGUUAGUGAAAUAACAUUACAUCAUUAUUGUUUUUAAACUUAUACAGUAAAUUACACGUAUUCGGGAUUAAACUUGAACUCAAAAAAUAUAAACGUACAAAUAAUCAGUAAAUAUACAUCAGUAAAGGCGAAGAAGUAUUUAAAUACCUACAAAAGAACAUAGAGGGAUGCGCUCCAUCGUUCUAAAAAUGGCAAUGAAUUAUUAAAAUUUUUAUAGAUGCUCUAACCAGGAUUUCAUGUUUUCAAAUGUUACUAAUUAGUGACUUCAUGGUUAUAAGCUCAUCUUUAAAGAUGAAAAGAUACCCUGACUUUGAAUUUAUAAAGUAUCAGUUAUACUACAAAGAUUGUAAUCUGUAUUUUACUUCAUUUUAAUAUGAGUAUGCACCGCCUGCUUUGCUUUGUCAAUACAAAAACGCUGGAGACAUGCGUUCGAUCCUAUCACUUCUGUUUUUUCUUUAUUAUUAUAAUUAUUAUUAUUAUUAUUUUGUCGAUUAGGUCAGAUUCCGUAGAAUGUGUACAUGUAAUCAUUGUGACAUAAAAUUCAUUCACUUGAUGAUAACAGCCAUAUUGCAAGCGAAUCACUGCAAGUUUUUAAUGAGUUCAUAAUAGCAAUUCUAUUCAACAUUAUCUUUUACCACUCUGCAAUUAACGUAUUAAUACAAUACACAGAAUGGCAACUAGAGAUAAUCUCGCGUUAAAGCGCCUCAGGUCAAAAAUACCCCGCCGCGAUCACAGCGUUACUGUUAUUUGUGUCACUUUUAAGCGGAUAAUUAGUGAGAGAGGAGCUUAGGGAUUUAUGCAGGUCAUCUAAACGCAAAAACCGGUCAUGCGGAUAGACAUCAAAAUGUUGAAUUGAACUGGUAUUUGAGACUUAAAUCUUCAGAAUAUUAUUUCAUAAAACUGGUUGAUAAAUCGAAGUGGAAGUCUUUAGGAAUGGCGAGUAAACAGUUGUGUCUCUUUGGAGAAACGAU
rnacentral:lncRNA from 1 species